GUGCCACAACAACAGAAUGGAGAAGUUGUGACAGGAACAUUAUGGCUGCGUGACAGAGACUAUACUUAUUUUAUAUUAAAGAACUAAUGCUGAUUAAGAUGAUGACUUUUAAUCUCCAAUCAAGUUUCUCCAAUUCUCAAGUUUAUAGUUUUAAUUCAUCAGCCAAACUUCUGUACAUUGAAGAAGUCGUUUUGUGUAUAUUUGAGGAUAAAUAGAUUUGUAAUUAGUCCAAUUAUAACUUGAAAGAUUUGUUUUCUAUAUAGUUUGUGUUGAUUUCAACUCUGAUGAAAAUAAAUUGUAAUGUGAAAUAGUGAUAAAAAAUCAUAUGUUUAAUUCUACUUUUCCUAGUACAACAUAAAACCUGAAUGAUUUGAUAACAAAUAUUCUUAAAUAUUUGGAAAAUGAAAAUCAAUGUUUGUCUAUCAUUAAAAGAUUGAAAUUCUUA